AAAAAAAAAAAGGUUUAGAUAAGAUAGGGAUUUUAGAUGAGAGGAAAUUCACAUAUAAGUAAAAAGCUUUGAUACCAUAUGAAGAAAGUGAUUUUUCCCAUUAUCUUUUAGGGCAUUACUAAUGUAUAUUUAUAAUGAAGAAUCCAAGAUUUACACAUGCUAGUAAGAUAGGUUCGGUAUACCAUGUACAGAUAUACAGGUUGUCUAGUUGAAUUACAAUUGUAUUCUAUCACAGAGUUAUAGGGAGACGCAAUCCCAGAUUAAAAACUAAGCAAUUAUAAGACAUUGGCUUCCACUUAUAAAACAAGAGGUUGCCCUCCUCAAAUGAUGUAAGUUUGAUGCAUUCAUAAGAUAAGGGCCAGGAAAGUUGUAAUCUUUAAUUGUGUUUUAUUUGCUAAUUAUUUCAUCAAUAUCUAUGAGAGGAAUAAUAAACAUUUAGUUAAAAUUAAGUGAUAUUGUCACAUAUAUUCAUGUUUAUUUGUUGAUUGUCUUACUGUUCGUGAAUUUGCAAUUAAGGGAAAAGGUAAUUUCAUACUAAGAGAUAAAGCAUAUUUACCAUUACAGCAUCAAGUAGAGCAG
rnacentral:misc_RNA from 1 species